AUGCUGGAUUUCUUCAGUAAUUUAAUGAGAGUUAUCAGCAAAAAUCAAGUGUUCAUUUGACGAACUUCAUUUCCUAAAACAUACAGAAUUGGAGCUCAUAUCUUUGGCAGCUGUAAAGUUUCUGCUCCUUCAAAGUUGACAACACAAUGAAUGAAUUCCUAAAACACUCUCAAUGCUGGAGAGCGUUUGUGAUGCUGAAGCAGUGACCAGUUUUUCUGUUUCUUCUCUGGAGAUGCACAAUGAGGGACGUCUGCAGAGACUGAGAAAGAGUCUCACCACAUCCUGACAUGAGGAAAAAGACUUUAUUGAAGACUACAAUGAGAAAAACUAUCAGACAGCAGACGGCUGCAUUCAAGAGAAGAAGACCAUCAAACAUCCACGUCAGCUGAUGGAGGUCCAAGAGUCUCACCAAACAAACAACCUACAGAGUGAAGACCUCGAAUCUGAUUGGACGGCCUCCUAUUCAGCCACAUUUUAGGCUGUUAGAUUGUUCCAGAUAAGACAAGUACAAGAUUCUUCAGAGCCGUUCUACCACGAGCCUGACAGGAAGAACUCCAACAGCUACUGAAUGUUCCUGUGGUUCCCUCAAGGCUACAGGAGGAGCCCUACGAGGACGAGCCGGUCCACCUGAUGGCGGCCAGUCGCUGCAGUUCAAAGCCAACACUGACUACGUGGACUUCUACUGGACCACAUGGAGGCCUUCAAACUAGACCAACAAGUUCAGCGACU
ensembl:lncRNA